rnacentral:rRNA from 2 species
UUAAGCGACUAAGCGUACACGGUGGAUGCCCUGGCAGUCAGAGGCGAUGAAGGACGUGCUAAUCUGCGAAAAGCGUCGGUAAGGUGAUAUGAACCGUUAUAACCGGCGAUGUCCGAAUGGGGAAACCCAGUGUGAUUCGUCACACUAUCGUUAACUGAAUACAUAGGUUAACGAGGCGAACCGGGGGAACUGAAACAUCUAAGUACCCCGAGGAAAAGAAAUCAACCGAGAUUCCCCCAGUAGCGGCGAGCGAACGGGGAGCAGCCCAGAGUCUGAAUCAGCUUGUGUGUUAGUGGAACGGUCUGGAAAGUCCGACGGUACAGGGUGAUAGUCCCGUACACCAAAAUGCACAGGCUGUGAACUCGAAGAGUAGGGCGGGACACGUGGUAUCCUGUCUGAAUAUGGGGGGACCAUCCUCCAAGGCUAAAUACUCCUGACUGACCGAUAGUGAACCAGUACCGUGAGGGAAAGGCGAAAAGAACCCCGGCGAGGGGAGUGAAAAAGAACCUGAAACCGUGUACGUACAAGCAGUGGGAGCACCUUCGGGUGUGACUGCGUACCUUUUGUAUAAUGGGUCAGCGACUUAUAUUCUGUAGCAAGGUUAACCGUAUAGGGGAGCCGCAGGGAAACCGAGUCUUAACUGGGCGUUAAGUUGCAGGGUAUAGACCCGAAACCCGGUGAUCUAGCCAUGGGCAGGUUGAAGGUUGGGUAACACUAACUGGAGGACCGAACCGACUAAUGUUGAAAAAUUAGCGGAUGACUUGUGGCUGGGGGUGAAAGGCCAAUCAAACCGGGAGAUAGCUGGUUCUCCCCGAAAGCUAUUUAGGUAGCGCCUCGUGAAUUCAUCUUCGGGGGUAGAGCACUGUUUCGGCUAGGGGGUCAUCCCGACUUACCAACCCGAUGCAAACUACGAAUACCGAAGAAUGUUAUCACGGGAGACACACGGCGGGUGCUAACGUCCGUCGUGAAGAGGGAAACAACCCAGACCGCCAGCUAAGGUCCCAAAGUCAUGGUUAAGUGGGAAACGAUGUGGGAAGGCACAGACAGCCAGGAUGUUGGCUUAGAAGCAGCCAUCAUUUAAAGAAAGCGUAAUAGCUCACUGGUCGAGUCGGCCUGCGCGGAAGAUGUAACGGGGCUAAACCAUGCACCGAAGCUGCGGCAGCGACACUAUGUGUUGUUGGGUAGGGGAGCGUUCUGUAAGCCUGCGAAGGUGACCUGUGAGGGUUGCUGGAGGUAUCAGAAGUGCGAAUGCUGACAUAAGUAACGAUAAAGCGGGUGAAAAGCCCGCUCGCCGGAAGACCAAGGGUUCCUGUCCAACGUUAAUCGGGGCAGGGUGAGUCGACCCCUAAGGCGAGGCCGAAAGGCGUAGUCGAUGGGAAACAGGUUAAUAUUCCUGUACUUGGUGUUACUGCGAAGGGGGGACGGAGAAGGCUAUGUUAGCCGGGCGACGGUUGUCCCGGUUUAAGCAUGUAGGCUGAUUAUCCAGGCAAAUCCGGAUAAUCAAGGCUGAGGUGUGAUGACGAGGCACUACGGUGCUGAAGUAACAAAUGCCCUGCUUCCAGGAAAAGCCUCUAAGCAUCAGGUAACAUCAAAUCGUACCCCAAACCGACACAGGUGGUCAGGUAGAGAAUACCAAGGCGCUUGAGAGAACUCGGGUGAAGGAACUAGGCAAAAUGGUGCCGUAACUUCGGGAGAAGGCACGCUGGUGUGUAGGUGAAGUCCCUGCGGAUGGAGCUGAGACCAGUCGAAGAUACCAGCUGGCUGCAACUGUUUAUUAAAAACACAGCACUGUGCAAACACGAAAGUGGACGUAUACGGUGUGACGCCUGCCCGGUGCCGGAAGGUUAAUUGAUGGGGUUAUCCGUAAGGAGAAGCUCUUGAUCGAAGCCCCGGUAAACGGCGGCCGUAACUAUAACGGUCCUAAGGUAGCGAAAUUCCUUGUCGGGUAAGUUCCGACCUGCACGAAUGGCGUAAUGAUGGCCAGGCUGUCUCCACCCGAGACUCAGUGAAAUUGAACUCGCUGUGAAGAUGCAGUGUACCCGCGGCAAGACGGAAAGACCCCGUGAACCUUUACUAUAGCUUGACACUGAACAUUGAGCCUUGAUGUGUAGGAUAGGUGGGAGGCUUUGAAGCGUGGACGCCAGUCUGCGUGGAGCCAACCUUGAAAUACCACCCUUUAAUGUUUGAUGUUCUAACGUUGGCCCCUUACCGGGGUUGCGGACAGUGUCUGGUGGGUAGUUUGACUGGGGCGGUCUCCUCCCAAAGCGUAACGGAGGAGCACGAAGGUUAGCUAAUCCUGGUCGGACAUCAGGAGGUUAGUGCAAUGGCAUAAGCUAGCUUGACUGCGAGCGUGACGGCGCGAGCAGGUGCGAAAGCAGGUCAUAGUGAUCCGGUGGUUCUGAAUGGAAGGGCCAUCGCUCAACGGAUAAAAGGUACUCCGGGGAUAACAGGCUGAUACCGCCCAAGAGUUCAUAUCGACGGCGGUGUUUGGCACCUCGAUGUCGGCUCAUCACAUCCUGGGGCUGAAGUAGGUCCCAAGGGUAUGGCUGUUCGCCAUUUAAAGUGGUACGCGAGCUGGGUUUAGAACGUCGUGAGACAGUUCGGUCCCUAUCUGCCGUGGGCGCUGGAGAAUUGAGGGGGGCUGCUCCUAGUACGAGAGGACCGGAGUGGACGCAUCACUGGUGUUCGGGUUGUCAUGCCAAUGGCACUGCCCGGUAGCUAAAUGCGGAAGAGAUAAGUGCUGAAAGCAUCUAAGCACGAAACUUGCCCCGAGAUGAGUUCUCCCUGAGACUUUAAGUCUCCUGAAGGAACGUUAAAGACGAUGACGUUGAUAGGCCGGGUGUGUAAGCGCAGCGAUGCGUUGAGCUAACCGGUACUAAUGAACCGUGAGGCUUAACCUU